ensembl:lncRNA
AGAGAAGAGUAGGGACUGCUAAGGGAAAACUGGCUGCUGUUAGCACUGAAAACAAUAAACAGAUUCCGAAUCUGAGCCAAGCAGCAAGUAAUUUGCCCUUCUGUCCUCCGCAUCCCUAUUCUUCAAGCUGUUUUCCUGCCCUUCUCAAAAACCGACUCUCCAGCCAUUCUGGAAAGACUGCGGGCUGGCCACCGGCAAGUUCGAGAUGGAAUUCAGUAUUGGAGGGGUCACAAUAUGGCUGCUGAAGCUCCAAGAUUCACCUCCAGAUGCCAUAAUGCUUGGAGAUGAAAGAGAAUAUCUUUUCCCGUGGUGAUUCACAGGAUUAAAGAAAUCUCCGACCCUCCUUUAUGUGUCUUUGACUGUAACUGAACUACACUCCCAUUCCCCCUAAACAAAUCAGAGCCUUGGGAUAUGGAAUCGUCAGCCUGAAUGCUAUCAGGUAAGAAGGAAAUGGACACUGGCAGAUGACCAAUGGUGUCUGCCUAACACACUUUCUGUUUUCAGACUAGGAGAGGGUUGUUGAGAGGCCACAGCACCAGCUUCGGGGACUGGGCUUUGGUAGGAACUGACAGCGAG